rnacentral:rRNA from 1 species
GUGUCAGCAGCCGCGGUAAUACAGAGGUCCCAAGCGUUGUUCGGAUUUACUGGGCGUAAAGGGUGUGUAGGCGGUCAAGAUAGUCCGACGUUAAAUCUCUGGGCUCAACCCAGAAACCGCGUUAGAUACUUCUUGGCUCGAGAGACAUAGGGGGAACCGGAAUUCUCGGUGUAGCAGUGAAAUGCGUAGAUAUCGAGAGGAACGCCAGUGGCGAAAGCGGGUUUCUGGAUGUCAUCUGACGCUGAGGCACUAAAGCUGGGGGAGCAAACGGGAUUAGAAACCCCUGUAGUCC